AAUAACAGCAGAUGGUGACUGCGUGUAUCUGAAUUAUGAGAAUUGGGUCAGCAGCUCACAGUGCACCAGUGAGAGACACUGGAUCUGCAGCAAACCUGAUGCGUUUACAACGGCGAAGGAGGCGGCAGUGGAAGGAGGCUCAUAACAAGAGUAUUAUCAAAAAUUAGCCCUGGAAAAGCCUGUUCACCCCCUUCCAGGAGCCCAUUGGGUUGGAAGGGGCAGGGAGGGGGUAGAUGUGAUACUGGCAGACCAGGUAUCAGCUCAUGCCAAAGGCCCCAUGUCUCAGUAGGACACUGACAAAUACUCAGCUGGGGUCAGGCUGGCUCACCUGUGUGUUAAAAUAGGUAUUAGCAUUAUAAGAAUGUGCUUAGACUUUAGUGAAAGCGUGUGAGCUGCUGCAGCAUUAAUCCCGCUUCUGACAGUCACAUCCCACAUCGUAAGGUGAUAUUGGAGCAUUUGUGUUGGGAGCCUCUGUGGCUGUGAAAAUCACCAGACAGGAGAGUGAAUUAACUAGUGCGAAGUGCUGAACUCCCAACAGCUCGGAGCACAAAGGAGGAGGUGGGGUACAACAAGGGACUGUAUCUCUCUCGGUGCUGCUUGGACGCUGGGGGGCAAGGCUUUCGGAGUAUAUGCAAGAGAUCCCCAGCUGCUGAGCCUGGGUUAGCCCUAAAGGAGACAGAGCUUAGUAUAGACCAGUGAUACUCAGACUGCAGCUCACAAAUGGCCCUUUGUGUGUCUCCUGUGUCUUUAUAGCACAUAAUAUUAAAACACUGGGUGAUUUAAUUAUUAACCGAUCAGGAUACCUUUACUAUGUUAAGGGUUAACUUACCAACUUUCACUAUGUUAACUUAUCUGCUUUGGGAAUAGUUUAUAUAUACAAGUAAAUAUUUCCCCUGUCAUACUGUUUAAAUAGGGAUUGCACUAUAGCAAAUGAAACAAUGGAUUCACACUCUUGUGGCUCUUUUGGGUAAUGCUGAUUGCUAAUUUGGCUCCUGAACCACUGAGGUCUGAGUAUCACUGCUCUAGGUGCUUCUGUUCCCUUUUGAAAAUUAAGAUUUGUAACCUAUUUGUAUUUACAUGCUUACCUGCUUUAACUUUAUAAAUAACAGCUUUUAUUUUUAAUGAAUUGUCAUAUAAUAUUGGUGACAAGAGCUGUCUUGGUUUGAGAUUUAAGGAGCAGUUGGCCUGGGGUAAGUGACUGGACCUUUGGAUCUGGGAGUAACCUGAAUAUUGCUGUGAUUCUGGGUGUAAAGGACCUUCUAUCACACAAGCAGGCUCAGCUGGGUGGCGAGACAGACUGGAGUCCCCCAGGGGCCUGUCUGUGACUCUGUUAGGCUGUUACGGUGCCGGAGGAGUUUACACUGGAUGGUUGGUUGGUGAAAUCAGAGUCUAGAACUCUCAGCCAGUUUGGGGUUUGUGCCUGGUUCCCAGCAGUCUGCCCAGAGGUUGGCACUCACCCUCUCAACACACUGCGGACAGCAUCAGAGCAGGGCCUUGGUUCCAGUUCCCCUGCUUACAGGACAGGAGCUGAGCCAGCCCAGAGAGGGGGCUUGGGGGCAAGGUUUAUGUGACCCAGGGACCCCUUGGUGCCAACUGGCAGAGGGUGCAGGAGGUUUACAGGGAUUCCCCUGGGGCUGAUCUCUACAUAAUAGUUCACCAAAGGGGGCAUAUGAGGUCUGUACCAAGAGCCAGUAGCUCACUGGUCAUCAUAGUCAGUGUGAAAUGUCUGCAUGGAUACUAUGUAAGGAGCUGUGUAUCUGUAUUGAAAACGUUUCCCUUAAGGUCUUGGAGUUAAGGCAGGUCACCAGGAGGGGAUGCACCUCAGAGAUGUUCUUGUCAGGCAGGCGAUAACUGAGGUUAUCUCCUUGUCUGACCAGCUGUGUAUUGGAUGCUAUUUGUGUACUGAGCCCGGUGCAAAGUGGGAGAUUGCAAAAUCCACAGGAAGAAACAAACAGUGUGUCCUAUUUAACAAUAAAGACAAAGGACUGGUCUGGUC